AAAGGGGAAAGCCGAAAACCUUCGAAAAGAGUAGGCA
rfam:Mucilaginibacter pedocola strain TBZ30 scaffold18, whole genome shotgun sequence.